GGAGAGACUCGACAGAAGACUGCCGCUCAUUUUGGAGUACAUGUUUAAACUCAGAUCAUACCUUAGUACGAGCGCGUAUUUGUCUGCGUCUCAAU
rnacentral:pre_miRNA from 1 species